ACACACACACACAUUACUUGCACACACACACACAGGGAUACAUACACAUACACGAUAGAACAGAGACAGAGACACGCAUCACAUCACGCAUACAUUACACACACACACACAACACACACACAACACACACACACAUACACACACACAUCACACACACAUCACACACACACACAUCACACACUCACACACACAUAUAUCACACAUACACACACAA
rnacentral:lncRNA from 1 species